GGACUACCCGGGUAUCUAAUCCUGUUUGCUCCCCACGCUUUCGCGCCUCAGCGUCAGUAUCUGUCCAGACAGUCGCCUUCGCCACUGAUGUUCCUUCCGAUCUCUACGCAUUUCACCGCUACACCGGAAAUUCCACUGUCCUCUACAGUACUCCAGCUUACCAGUUUAAGAUGCAGUUCCCAGGUUAAGCCCGGGGAUUUCACAUCUCACUUGAUAAACCGCCUACGCGCCCUUUACGCCCAGUAAUUCCGAUUAACGCUCGCACCCUCUGUAUUACCGCGGCUGCUGGCAC
rnacentral:rRNA from 2 species